CUUUUAUUAGUAUAGAUACCUUUAAAGAAAAACUUAAAAAUUUAGAGGCCAGUAUUUUAAAAUUAUUGUCGAUUUUGAGUUAUCCACAAUUGUAAGCUCGUUGCUUGAAUAUAAAAAGAUUACUGCAUUUGAAACUGUAAGGGGGCACCCAUCCCCCUUAACUUCGAUAUAAAUACCAUACAGGAGCGCGUUAUAUAAAAUAAUCUAAGGUUUGGGUGUGACUUGUACAGCUUCGCCUAUACUCUAGAGCCAGCCCUGAGUGAGACAGUGCUCUUUAUUACUUUAAUGGCAUAGGUGAAGGCCCCAGUCUGAGUGAAAUGUUAAUGCGCUUCUAAUUUUAUAAACUCACAAAUUAAGUUAGUAAGUUGUAUGUAUCGUGUCCUUGAUCAGGCAACACAGUAAAUACAACUCUGUAGGAUAUCUCUACUUGCCUAAAACCUCAGUAUGAUAUACUUGCUCAGAAAAGAGAAAAGAAACAAAAUAUAAAACAUUUUUAAAAGGGUUUCAUGAUUUGCCCUUGUACCAACUUUCAAGAAACUCUUAAACUUAUCAAAAUUUGUAAAUUUAGCACUUGUGCAGAUGACAUCCAAAUAUGCAUGAAUUACUAAUCUUCUCUGUUGCUUUCAAGUUACAAAUGUUACAGAAGAUCUCCUAGGGACUCUUUCACAUGAAGAUCUGAGCAUUUCCUUCGAAGAAAAACCUUAUGGCUAGCAGUACAUCAAAAGGAGCUGUGGUUUUCUGUGCAGCAAGAUAACUUACAAUACAGCUGUACAUCUCCCUCCUCUUCUGAAUGCAAUACUCUAAAAAAUGCCAGUCUUUCCCCUACCCCUCAAUCCAGUGAGCAAGGAUGUUCCAGAAAACUUUUAAGAGAAGCCAAUCCCUCUAAAAUCAUUCAACUACCAAGCCCCGAAUACAUACUUCAUAGUGACAGUGAGUUGGAGCAGGUCAGAAAACAUUACUUUGAACUGCAGCGCAUAAGGAAAGGGGAGCACUGUAUCAAAGGAUCUUCACUGUAGAUUAAUUAGAAAUACAGUGACCAACAUGCUUCCCAUCAUGAGGACAAAAACCAGAGAAGACAGAUAUACCUCCAAACAUGAGGUUUCUUCAAUGGCAAAACUUAUAGUCAAGUAUUAUCCAAUGCUACGUGCAGCUGAAGAUCAAAAUUCAUGGGUUAGUGUAAAUAACUUUUUUAUAGCGGUUUUAGAUUGAGCAGUGACAUCAUGUAUUCACUUGCACACUUUUUAAGAGUGUAAUCUCAUUACAGGAACAAGUGUUUAAACAACUCCUGAAAAGCUACAGAAUAUCUGCAUAGAAGCAACAGGGCUCUAUGCUUCAAAUAAAUAAAGUGAUGUCUCGGCGUCACCACUGACAAGCCUGGUGCUGCUGAAGUUGAGAAUUCCACUGCAUCAUUGGGGAAUUCUAUUGCUACAGCGACGCUUCUUAACAUGUCACCUUCUAGUCGUGUCCAAGAAGUUACAGGAGAGAAAGAAUGUGAACCAUCUGAUCUCCGAGAAUCCUGAUGUCUUUCUACAGCAAAGACUGACCACCGUCUAGUCCUGCCCUUAUUGUGGACCAAGAUAACUGAAUGCUGGCUAUUGGAAGUGAGCCUCUGACAACUUUCCCUCAAGAAAUGUUGCAGGAAGUUAUCAUGUACCUUAUGGUAUACUGU